AUUGAACGCUGGCGGCAGGCCUAACACAUGCAAGUCGAGCGGAUGAAGGGUGCUUGCUCCUGGAUUCAGCGGCGGACGGGUGAGUAAUGCCUAGGAAUCUGCCUGGUUGUGGUGGAUAACGUCCGGAAACGGCCGCUAAUACCACCUACGUCCUGCGGGAGCAAGUGGGUGAUCUUCGGACCUCACCCUAUCAGAGGGGUCUAGGUGGGAUUAGCUAGCUGGUUGGUUAAAGGCUUACUUAGCCGGCGUUCCGUAACUGGUCUGAGAGGAUGAUCAGUAACACGGGAACUGGAACACGGACAAGACGACUACGGGAGGCAGCAGUGGGGAAUAUUGGACAGUGGGCGAAAGCCUGAUCCAGCCGGGCCGCGUGUGUGAAGAAGGUCUUCGGAUUGUAAAGAACUUUAAGUUGGGAGGAAGGGCAGUAAGUUGAUACCUUGCUGGUUUGACGUUACCAACAGAAGAAGCACCGGCUAACUUCGUG
rnacentral:rRNA from 1 species